CUCGGGACUGUGGGCAGUUGAAGGUGCUGAAAACACAAGCGUUGUUCUGGAAUGCAGACUCUGUCCAGACAAGGACCUCAGUCUCAGAUUCUGAGGAGCCCGAAGGCUAGAUUUUAGGAGACCGAGGCCCCAGCGUCACAAAGCUGGAGGAUAAUGGAGGAGCUCCCACUAGAACCCAGGUCUUCCGGGAUUUGGUUACUCACCCUGGAUUCUGCUGCCACGGACAAGCUAAGGAUUUUUGCCCCAGGCUGAAAGUCGCUGUGAGGAUGGAAAACACCCAGUGAACCCCCAGGAGCUUUGGUUGCCAAGUUUUGGAAGCCACAGCAAUCACUCCCUGAUGGCUGUUUGUUCAUAGAACCAAGAACGACCAAAUACAUCAGCUGGGAGUCGACCCUCACAAGCAGACAGAUCGGUCCAGCUUCCAUCUCUGAAACAGCUUGCUGGGGGCAUCUGUUUCUUUCGAGAACAAACCCAUGUUUAUACCCAAAUGAUGCAGUCCUACAGGUUCCUCCUGGAUAAGGGCUGAAGCCCAUGAGCUUUUGGUACUCAUUUGGUGGAUUUGUUACACUGGACUCACCUUGCCCAUCACUGCUGGGGUGAACUUCUCCCUCUGCUCCAUGCCUUAGGAGUUGACAAAAACAGCAUUGUCUGACCAAGAAUUGUACCAAUCAGGCAGAAAAUAAAUGAAGGAUUUUUUUUUGGGGGGGGGGGUCCCUGGAUCACAUGGCAUCAAGUGACAGCACAGUUAAAAUUUUCCCAAUAAUUUGUCACAUUUCCACGUUUUUUCCCCUUUGGUAAGAUAGUAUAAAAGGAGAAGAAUCAAUGGAAAGAGCUCAUGAAUCUUUGAAUGUGGGUUCAAAUCCCAGAUCUGCCAUUCACUGACUCUCCACCCUUGAGCGAAGUGGCUAACUUUUCAAAAUCUCCUUUUUUGUUUUCAUCUGUAAAUCGGGCACAGUAACAACUAUCUUGCAGAGUCAUUGUUAACUGUUUGAAUAGUGUGAAUAUAGAAACUGACAGUGCCUGGCAGAUACCAAAGUCUUCAUAUGUGGCAGUGAAUAUUAUUUAUUUAUUAUUAUCAUUAUUGUUUAUUUGUUAAGUACCUAUUAUGUGGGUCAGGAUUAGAGCAGCUACAGUCUGAUGGAAAGUGGAGAGAAAGCCAGUGGAAAUAUUUGUCACUGCCAACUGUCGUGUUCCUCAGACAACUCAAUUUGAUGGGGCCUACGUUUUUAGAAGUAGGGGGAAAUGCCAUUCUGCUCACUAAAAACCGGGGAGUUGGUAUUUUGGAGAGCACACUGGCCCAGAUUCUCUACUAGGUUUACUGAAAUGUAACCUCACAUCUCACAGCCCUUGACUGUCACUCAGCGUUUAUGUGUAAGGAAUCAGAAUUCCAGAGAAGUUGACUGAUUUAGGUAAAAUCAUGACCCUAGUGAGUGGCAGGGUUGGAAUCGGAGCCUGGAUUUUUUUUGACAUUUGUUUACACAGGAUUUAUAAAAUGAGAUAUUGUAUUAGAACUUAAUGAACACUAGGUUUAUUAUUACAAGCAUAUGUCAAGCUCUCACUGAUUAUGUUAUAAAUACAGGGUGAGGUGACUGGGAUACAGAGAAAACAGGAAAUAAAACUUGACUUUGAGGGAUUGAGACUCUCGUAGGGAUCUUGCAUUCUUUGGCAUGCAAAACUUGCCUUCCUAAAAUAGAAAUAAUGUUCUUGUUAAAAAAAAUUUUUUUUUAAUGCAAUUAGUAUUUCAUUAGGAGAAGGACAAAGUGUAAGGGAGGCUACCCCAAAGCGGGGUGCAGAUCAAAUAAAAGAAUAUUUACAAGAGGAGCUUAGAAAAUAAAAUGCAUGCUUUAGACACAAGGCGUUGUUGUUCUUCUCUAUUAUUAUUAAGCACCACUGCUGCAUCUAUGGUGCUGCAGUCCUUGCAGAGAGAAGACUGAAAGAUGGUGCCCCCUGGAAGACAAGAAGCACCACAGAGUUCAGAGAAAGACCCACCACGGUAAUGUUCACAGACUGACACUCAGAGGUUCUUAGACUAAAACCAAGGACCUUGGAAAUGAUUCAUCGUCAUAGCAUUUGAAGUGUAGACCCAAUGUAUUUGAAAGGUUCUUAAUUCAUCCAAUUUAUCUUGGAAGGGUGAGGGUGGGUACCAAGGGUACGGGCAAGUUCUAUCUAUAAAAGAGGAGACUGAAGUCCUCUGAUAUGCUCAGAGUCAGUUAGGGAGGGUGAGGUAGAGACCAGACAUCUCCCAGUUUGGUUAAUGGGAGUGGAAACAAGAGUGCAGAGGCAAUCCCUCUGUUUACUAGUGACGUGACUGUAGACAAGUUAUGUUGAACCUUUCAGAGCACCAUAUAUAUAUUUUUUCAUCUGUAAUAGAAGGGUAGAGAACAAAAUGUCAGGGGCAUCUUUGGGGUUGGUUUGGGAGAAAGUGAAAUAGCACAGAUAAAGAUACACCUGAUACAGAAUUGUGUUUCUACCAUCUCUGUCAGCUGUGGUUUAUGAAUUUAACCCCAUCUUUUCCCAGUGAAUGCAAUUAAAUAUCUCACAUUUUAUAGGCUAGGAGGAAAGAAAGAUUGUAUUUCUUUCUUAACUGGAAUAAAAGUGUAACCUGCUUCAAAGGCUGGGCUGGUGGGCUUUAUUUAUAUAUUUUCAGUAAUGACCACAGUGCCUAAAACAUUGAAGCUG